AGACUUGAGGUUUUUCGAAUUGUAAGACAGUGUGUGAGAGGAAAUUGCAACCCCAGUGCCUGUUUUGGCACUGUUAUUCUAUAUAUCUUUGGUGGUGAGAUGAAUUGCUGCUAUCUCUAGUGGUUGAGUGUCCAGCAUUGACAAGACCAAGGGAGGUCGAAAUUAUGUGAUCUGGUGGUCUGGGCACUGGAGAUCAUGGAGAUUUAUCUCCCCACUAGCAAUAUAAACAAGAAUGCAUUUUGCACC